rnacentral:rRNA from 1 species
CCAUAGCCGCGUGUGUGAAGAAGGUCUUCGGAUUGUAAAGCACUUUAAGUUGGGAGGAAGGGCAGUAAGUUAAUACCUUGCUGUUUUGACGUUACCGACAGAAUAAGCACCGGCUAACUCUGUGCCAGCAGCCGCGGUAAUACAGAGGGUGCAAGCGUUAAUCGGAAUUACUGGGCGUAAAGCGCGCGUAGGUGGUUUGUUAAGUUGGAUGUGAAAGCCCCGUAUUCACCCUGUGAUCUGCUUCCUGAACUGUCAAGCUAUAGUACGGAAGAGGGUGUUGCUAUUCUCCUUUGUUUCGGUUGACUGCAGUGAAUUUGGAUGGAACCCCCUGGGUGAUCUACA